AAAAAAAAAAAAAAAAAAAAAGAAUUUAAAAUAUUUUGCAAGCAAACGUUAGCGACCUUCGCCAAUUUACCACCACAAGUUGCGGCAAAAACGCUACAAAUCUUUGGUACUAAUUAAGCAAUUAGCCAGGAAAUGACCCCAAAUGUCAAAGUAAUUAAUCGCACAGGCGGACAAAUGUUUUUGCUAUAAUGUCUUUAUAAGCCUCAGCUUCCAUACGCAACUGUCAAUGAUUUUUUUUUUAUGAAAAUGCAAAGAUCUGAAUGCACAAUGAUCAGCACAAUUUCAAGUGCCUGAACGGAAGGAAAAUCCUAUAAGAAAGAUAAUAAAUUACUAUGGAUUUUGAAAGGGGAAUACAA